GGCGCUGUGGCUGAGUGGUAAAGUGCUUGACUUAUAAAUCAGGGGUCCUGGGUUUGAAUUCCAGUGAAGACU
rnacentral:tRNA from 1 species